rnacentral:misc_RNA from 1 species
UGAGCGAGCAAUACGGUGCGUUUAGGGAGGUUCACUUGCAGGAAACAGGGAACGGGAAAGGGAGCUGGAGGAGACCAUUUAUCACUCAUUUCACAGGGUGCCAGCCCUGCAAUGGAGACCACAAUAAGAUGUACGAAGGAGACAGUUGCUGGAAGGGAAUGGUGAGAGCCUUGAAUUUCGCUGAUAAUCAGGUGCUGAGGAAGUAUGGGUUUGUGCACCCUGAUUUGCUCGAUUCCAAAACGGUGCAGGAGACGCCGUUUGAUUACCCCGACGACGGACCAUGGUAAAAGCCAAUAUGUAUAAAGUGGUUCAAGG